rnacentral:rRNA from 1 species
UACGUAGGGUGCAAGCGUUGUCCGGAAUUAUUGGGCGUAAAGAGCUCGUAGGUGGCCUGUCGCGUCGGCUGUGAAAACUCGGGGCUCAACUCCGAGCUUGCAGUCGAUACGGGCAGGCUAGAGUUCGGCAGGGGAGACUGGAAUUCCUGGUGUAGCGGUGAAAUGCGCAGAUAUCGGGAGGAACACCGGUGGCGAAGGCGGUUCUCUGGGCCUGACCUGACGCUGAGGAGCGAAAGCGUGGGGAGCGAACAGG